rnacentral:rRNA from 1 species
UACGUAGGGACCAAGCGUUGUUCGGAUUUAUUGGGCGUAAAGCGCACGCAGGCGGCUCUUCAAGUCUGACGUGAAAUCUCUCGGCUUAACCGGGAGCGGUCGUUGGAAACUGAAGGGCUUGAGGCGAUGAGAGGGGUGUGGAAUUCCCGGUGUAGUGGUGGAAUGCGUAGAUAUCGGGAGGAACAUCAGUGGCGAAAGCGGCACCCUGGCAUUAGCCUGACGCUCAUGUGCGAAAGCGUGGGGAGCGAACGGG